rnacentral:rRNA from 1 species
AGAGUUUGAUCGUGGCUCAGGAUGAACGCUGGCGGCGUGCCUAAUACAUGCAAGUCGAACGGAAUCCUCUGGAUUCGUCUGGGGGUGAGAGUGGCGAACGGGUGAGUAACACGUAGGUGACCUGCCUCGAAGACGGGGAUAACUGCUGGAAACGGUAGCUAAUACCCGAUGUGCUCGAUGAUUCGGUUCAUCGAGUAAAGCUCCGGUGCUUCGAGAUGGGCCUGCGGCCUAUCAGCUAGUUGGUAGGGUAAUGGCCUACCAAGGCUAAGACGGGUAGGGGGCGUGAGAGCGUGACCCCCCACACUGGCACUGAGAUACGGGCCAGACUCCUACGAGAGGCAGCAGUCGGGGAUAUUCCACAAUCGGCGAAAGCCGGAUGCAGCGACGCCGCGUGGGCGAUGAAGGCCUUCGGGUUGUAAAGCCCUUUUCUGGGGGAAGAGACAAGGACGGUACCCCAGGAAUAAGCGUCGGCUAACUACGUGCCAGCAGCCGCGGUAACACGUAGGACGCAAGCGUUAUCCGGAUUUAAUGGGCGUAAAGUGCGUUGAGGCGGUUUCGUAAGUUGGACGUGAAAGCCCCGGGCUUAACUCGGGGAUGCCGUUCAAUACUGCGAGACUUGAGGGCAGCAGAGGGAGGUGGAAUUCCCGGUGGAGCGGUGAAAUGCGUAGAGAUCGGGAGGAACACCAGUGGCGAAGGCGGCCUCCUGGGCUGUUCCUGACGCUGAAGGCGAAAGCUAGGGUAGCGAACGGGAUUAGAAACCCCGGUAGUCCUAGCUGUAAACGAUGGAUGCUGGGUGUAGGAAGGGUAGAACCUUCCUGUGCCGAAGCUAACGCGUUAAGCAUCCCGCCUGGGGAGUACGGCCGCAAGGCUAAAACUCAAACGAAUUGACGGGGACCCGCACAAGCAGCGGAGCGUGUGGUUUAAUUCGAUCUACACGAAGAACCUUACCUGGGCUUGACAUGUGAGUAGUAGUGAAGCGAAAGCGGAACGACUCUUCGGAGAGCUUACACAGGUGCUGCAUGGCUGUCGUCAGCUCGUGCCGUGAGGUGUCGGGUUAAGUCCCGUAACGAGCGCAACCCUUGUCCUUAGUUAUAUGUGUCUAAGGAGACUGCCCGGGACAACUGGGAGGAAGGUGGGGAUGACGUCAAGUCAGCAUGGCCUUUAUGUCCAGGGCUACACACACGCUGCAAUGGCCGGUACAAUGGGUCGCCAAGCCGUAAGGCGGAGCCAAUCCUUUAAAGCCGGUCUAAGUUCGGAUUGCGGGCUGCAACUCGCCCGCGUGAAGCUGGAGUUGCUAGUAACCGUAGGUCAGCUAUACUGCGGUGAAUACGUUCCCGGGUCUUGUACACACCGCCCGUCACGUCAUGGAAGCUGGCAACACCUGAAGCCGGUGGGCUAACCUAACGGAGGCAACCGUCGAAGGUGGGGCUGGUAACUGGGACGAAGUCGUAACAAGGUA